CGGCACGGGUGAGUAACGCGUGGAUAAUCUACCCUUAAGAUGGGGAUAACGGCUGGAAACGGUCGCUAAUACCGAAUACGCUCCCGAUUUUAUCGUUGGGGGAAAGAUGGCCUCUGCUUGCAAGCUAUCGCUUAAGGAUGAGUCCGCGUCCCAUUAGCUAGUUGGCGGGGUAACGGCCCACCAAGGCAACGAUGGGUAGCCGGUCUGAGAGGAUGACCGGCCACACUGGAACUGGAACACGGUCCAG
rnacentral:rRNA from 1 species